ensembl:lncRNA
UUUCAAACAUGUAUUUGCUGUGUUGCCAAAGUAGAAAAAGCAGAAGGGAAACAUCAUGGGAAGAAAGACUAUUUUGUUUCUGAUUGCAAGGGUCCUUGGGGCGUAUUAUGUUUAUACUCCUCUCCCAGAUAAUAUUGAGGAACCCUGUUGGCUGGUGUGGAUAGCUGCACAUGUGAAAACGGUAACAAAUUUGGUUUUGUCAGCCGAACCCUUUGGAAAUCAAUCAUUUCAUGAACACUGCAAUGUUCUUUAUGAGCUUUCAAGAAGUCCCACCUACAUCUGGAGAAAAUGUCACUGUGAUGGAGACAACUUUCAAUAAUAUUCCUGUCCAUGUAUAUGUGCCAACACUAAAGUUAGAGAUACUAAGAAGGAGCUUAGUUUAUAUUCAUGGUGGUGGUUGGUGUAUGGGGGAUGCUGGUAUGUGCUCCAUGUUAAAAAUUUUAGUGUAUCAUAUAACAUACAUUUUACUGAAAUGUUGACUCCAUCAUAUCAAGACAUACGUGUCAGAUAACAAAACACUUCAGCUGUCCAAAAUUUAUUUCUUUGGAGCUAUGUAGAUUUAAAAGAACUAUUUUAAAUCUCAUUCUGAAAGAGGGCAUAAUAACUACCCAAAGCUGUAGCAAAUCUCAGAUAAGAAGAGAACUUGUUUCACGAACUUAGACAUUUAUUAUUAAUUGCAGAUUUGAUAGAAAGUUGCAGUAAAAAACAACAAAGUGAGUUGAACAGUGGAUUAAAUAUGAAGAAAUAGAAAUGGUAACUCUAGUCUUUUUGUAAGCUUAAAUAUUAAGGAAAUGAGAAAGAAGGUGUUAGAUUAAAAACACAGAGCUGGCACUUUGGGAGGCCGAGGCAGGCAGAUCACCAGGUCAGGAGAUUCAGACCAUCCUGGCUAACACAGUGAAAUCCCCUCUCUACUAAAAAAAUACAAAAAAUUAGCCAGGCGUGGUGGCAGGUGCCUGUAGUCCCAGCUACUUGGGAGGCUGAGGCAGGAGAAUGGGGUGAACCCAGGAGGCGGAGCUUGCAGUGAGCUGAGAUCACGCCACUGCACUCCAGCCUGGGCAACAGAGCGAGACUCUGUCUCAAAAAAAAAAAAAAAAGAAACAGAGUUGAAUAGGGGUAUUUUAUUUUGAUUUCAUAUUAUAUCAUAUAUAUUUUGUUUAAUGCAUUUAUGUAUUUAUAUAAACAUGAUAUAUUUUAUAUAUAAUUUUAUUUGCUAUAGAAUCUAAAAUUAUUUUAUUUGUAUACAAAUAUAUUUUAUAUUAUAUGUUUUUAUUAUAUAUAUUUUAUAAUUAUGUAUGGGAGGUCUAGGAACAUGAUUAUAAGCUGAAGUUAAGAUGGUGGUAAAUUGAGGUACAUUGGAGAAAUGUGGGGAGUGCUAGCUAGAGGAAGGGAUGGGGGUUUAUCUGACCUAGAGAAUAUGGAAGCAAAUUGGAUUCAAUGUGGAUGGGAAGAAUUGGCAACACACAGGAGGAGGAACAUAUCUUCAUUUGUGACAGAAGGAAAGUAGGUGUUGAUGGGUAUUGAUGUAGAUUGGGAAUGUAAAUUGGAGAAGUAAAUGGGGUGAUUCUAUCAUUUUCUCUAAAUUCAGAUAGUAAAGUCAUCACUUAACAAUGCAGUGAUAUUUCUAACACAAAAACUGAGUAUGACAUCCCCGUUUCCACGAGUCUCUUCUGCCCAAAGACCUUCUUUGAAAACUUUUACAUCAAAGUAUCUGUGAAAAAUGAAAAUACGUUUACUAAGGUAAAGGAACUAAAUAAGAAUAAACUCAGAAAAAAAUAACAUUUGCCUAAUACUAUUUCAAUGUUAAAGGAAAACAUAAAAAUAUGUAUUCUAAUAAAAAAUAUGAGCAUGACUUUUUAUAGUAAAGGUCAAAUAAAAACUUAAGACUUAGUGUGUAUUUGACAUGUCAAGAUUACUCAGCACCUGAUUUUGGAAACGUUACAAGAUAAUAAUAUCUACUCCUCUUUCCAUGGCCCCCAAGAGAUGGGUUUUGUAAGAACCUCAUAUCCUGUUACUUCUCCUUCACCACUGUACGAUUUCUCCUGACACUUGUUACUACCAAAUUCUAUUUAUCUUUCAACAAUUUUCUUAUCUGCAUUUGCCCAAGCCCCAUAGCAAACAAGUGUGACCCAUCCCCAAUUCAUACACAUACCAAAACAAAACAAAACAACAAAACAGAACAAAACACAUUCUUUCUUGUCUGCCAAGAAAAUAUGAAUACCUAAUUCAAGUCUUAGCUCUCUCUAUUUCCUAUUUAC